rnacentral:sRNA from 1 species
UGACAAACGAAAUUGCUAAAUCUGC